GGUAGGACGAGCCAUUUCCGUCCGCGGAGAAACAGAGGCAGCAGCCGGACGAGUUGCGAGCAGAGCGUCUCCGGCAGGCCCUCCCUGGUCGGAAGCGGCGAGUGAGCCAAGCGGCGGGCAAGGGCCGGCUCCCAGGAUGGCCAGAGUGGAGGCCCAGGGCCGCCUGUGGCUGGAGAGCCCCCCUGGGGGAGCGCCUCCCAUCUUCCUGCCCUUGGGUGGGCAAGCCCUGGUGCUGGGCCGAGGACCCUUGACGCAGGUUACCGACCGGAAGUGCUCCAGAAACCAAGUGGAGCUGGUCGCUGACCCUGAGACUCGGACGGUGGCAGUGAAACAGCUGGGAGUUAACCCCUCAACUGCCGGGACUCAGGAGCUGAGAACAGGGUUGGAGGGUUCUCUGGGGGUGGGGGACACGCUGUAUUUGGUCAAUGGCCUCCACCCGCUGACCCUGCGCUGGGAAGAGGCUCACACGCCAGAAUCCCAGCCAGACACUCCACCAGGCACCCCUCCUGUGGCCCCGGAGGAGGAGGAGGAGGAUGAACAGCAGAAAAAGCGGAUAAGGAAGUCAUCCCCUGGCUGGGAGAGCUUCCAGAAGCUGCUAGUGUUCACGGCACCUGGUGUGAAGCCCCGGGGCAAGGUGGCCGGUUUUGAUCUGGAUGGGACCCUCAUCACCACACGUUCUGGGAAGGUCUUUCCCACUGGCCCCAGUGACUGGAGGAUCUUGUACCGAGAGAUUCCACAGAAGCUCCGGGAACUGGCCGCCGAGGGUUACAAGCUGGUGAUCUUCACCAACCAGAUGGGCAUUGGACGCGGAAAGCUGCCAGCGGAGGAGUUCAAGGCCAAGGUGGAGGCUGUGGUGGAGAAGCUGGGGGUCCCCUUUCAGGUCUUGGUGGCCACGCACGCAGGCUUGUACCGGAAGCCGGUGAUCGGCAUGUGGGACCACCUGCAGGGGCAGGCCAACCAGGGCGUGCCCAUCUCCAUCGGGGACAGCGUCUUUGUGGGAGAUGCAGCUGGACGCCCAGCCAACUGGGCCCCUGGGCGCAAGAAGAAAGACUUCUCUUGCGCUGACCGCCUGUUUGCCCUCAACCUGGGCCUGCCCUUCGCCACGCCAGAGGAGUUCUUUCUGAAAUGGCCCAUGGCCCGCUUCGAGCUCCCAGCCUUUGACCCGAGGACCGUCUCCUGCUCUGGGCCUCUCUGCCUCCCUGAGUCCAGCUCCCUCUUAAGCUCAGACCCUGAGGUGGUUGUCGCCGUGGGAUUUCCUGGGGCUGGGAAGUCCACCUUCCUCCAGGAGCAUCUCGUGUCGGCCGGAUACGUCCACGUGAACAGGGACACUCUGGGCUCGUGGCAGCGCUGCGUGACCACGUGCGAGGUGGCCCUGAAGCAAAGGAAACGGGUCGUGAUUGACAACACGAACCCAGACAUCCAGAGCCGAGCCAGGUACCGGGGUCCCAGGGGCGGCCUCUGUAGGGUGGGCCCCGGGCCCUUUGCCAGCCCCCCACUUCCCCGGCCCCCACAGGUACAUCAAGUGUGCCCGAGACGCAGGCGUCCCCUGCCGCUGCUUCCUCUUCAGAGCCACCCUGGAGCAGGCACGCCACAACAACCGGUUCCGGGACAUGACGGACUCCUCUCACGUCCCCGUGACCGACAUCGUCAUUUACGGCUACAGGAAGCAGCUCGAGGCCCCCACGCUGGCCGAAGGCUUCUCCGCCGUCCUGGAGAUCCCGUUCCGGAUCCACGUGGCGCCGCAGCUCGAGCGGCUGUACCGCCAGUUCUCAGAGGGCUGAGCCAACGCCCACCCCCACCUGCUCCCCACCCCACAAUAAAUGCUGUUUUUCUUCAUGUUUGACCAGCAUUUUGCUCCCAGCCGGGCUGGGAGCACAGACCCACCGGCCUGGUCUCCCAGGAAGGCACUGCUGGCAACUUUGCCUCAAACUAAACCCUCAGCCCACCUUGGGGACAAGUGCCUCUCGCGGACGGGGGUUUUGGCUUCUCCAGCCUGCGGCUGCUGGCGCUCCAAAUGGACGCCAGGGCAUCCUGGCUGGCAGGGCCUGAGUGGAGUUCGCUGCAAGCAGCUGCCAGCUGCAGAGCAAGCCCAGAGUCUUAGCGAGACUGACCCAGGGCCAAGAGUUCGCGCUCCGGUUCCGUGAGAAAUGAGGUGCUCUGCGUGCUGGACUUGAACCCCAGGGCUAUGGCCUGGACCUGCAGCCGCGAGGGGCGCCUGAGAGCCCGGCCAGGCCUGCCGCAUGCCACCAGUGCCAGAGGACUGGAACCGGCCUGGCAUUGCCUUGUGUUUGCUUCCAGCUAAGUGAGGCUUGUGGAACCCACAGGGCAAGGAGGGCAGCCUGGCAACGCCGGGAGUUGGGGGCUGGACCCCAGGAGCAGCCGGCCAGCUGUGGAAAGACUGGAAGACACGGCUCAGCAAGCACCUUGCAGACCUGGCAGCUCCAUGAACUGCAGCUUCUCCUCCUGGCUCAGGUUCCGCUGCAGGACCUGCUGCUGAUUGGCGAUGACGCGCCGGAUGCCGUUGACGAAGUUGCUCUGGUCGUGGGGGAUGAGGCCGAUGAAGAUCUUCUUCUCAGAGGAGUACAGGAGCAUGAGCACGCGGAUCUCGCACGAGGCCUUGUAGGAAAAGUGCACGCAGCCGGCCUGGCGGUGUGGAGCACGGUGUCACGGGCGGGCCCUCAGCGCAGACGCUCCUCCCCAUUGAGACACGGGCGCAAACCGCACGGGUCAGCGCCCUGGCAGACGGGCACCACAGAGCACACCGGGCCUUCCCAGCCGCCGUCCUCAGCCCUGUCAACACUCCCACAGGACACCAGAGGUGCCUGCGCAAGGACCAGCGGGCUCUACAGCUGAGCCCAGGAGGCUGCCUGACGAGCUCCAGCGAGACUGUGGCCCCCACGCCGGCCAGCCAGUACCCAGGAUGCCCACGGGACCAGCCACGGCCGUGACCGCGACCACGCAGGAGGGCCGCGGCGGGGGAGAAACACCAGGGGCCAAUCUGGCCCCAGGAGGCCGGGCACCAGGGCUCCGUCCACUCUGCGAGCCCCGGGCCAGCCGAGGGCGGGGAGGCUGGGCGGCGCUGAUCCACGGCGAUGCCGCCGUCACCGCGGCUUGGGACAUGGCUCAGCGUCACAGCGACUGCAGUGCCGACAGGCACCAAUCGCUCCCUGACGCCUUUCACAGGAUCCUCUCUCCAGGGCCCAGGGGUCACCGUCCCCAUCUUACAGGGGAGCAAACCCAGGCUGAGAGCUCGAGGACUCACAGGCCCCCAGAGCCAGAAGGGGUUAUGCCUGCCCUCGGGCCUGUGUGCCACUGCAGGGGACAGUGGUGACAGGCAUCGAGGAGGAAGCCCUUCACAGCACCCCCGAGCCAACAGCCUGAGGGAAGCCCGAGUGCGCCGAGGGAGCACCGGCCAUGGUCCUCGAGGCCUUAGUUUCCCUGAGGGAAUCCUGCUUUUAAACUCUUAAAUAACCAGCCCCUCAAAUGCACAGUGGCACAGCCACGAUGACUUCGGCUGACUUAGAAACAUUACGCUAAUUCGAGGACAGCUCUGACCUGGUACAGCAAACACCCACAAAGCGGACACAGACAGACAGCUGAGGCUUCAGGAGCACGAGGGCCAAGCUCCUCACUUCACAGAUGGAGAGACCGAGGCCCGCAGAGAGGGAAGAACUGGCCAAGGCCCACCAGCAGGUGAGCACCGGGGGCUUUCAGAGCUCGCUCCGGCUGGAGGCAGACAGAUGCCCUGCCCUGCCUGGUGAGGGCCUUUGGGAGCCUCAGGUUUUCCACCCUGUCCCCGGGGAAAGGAGCAAGAGGAAGGCGGCAGUUUUUAAACACCGAGCGGCUCUGGCUCUGUCUGUCUGGGCUCACCAUCAGCCCAGCCCUGGGCCCCGCCAGCCCACUCACAAAGCCGUUGUCCAUGAUCCGGCACAGGCUCUUCAGCGUCUCCAGGUCCUUGGUGAAGUGGAACUGCACCAGGCGGGAGUUCCGGAAGAGCGGCACCAGGGUGGUCUGCAGGGAGGCCCCGAGGUGGCUGGGCCAGGCGCCAGGGCCCCGCCGCCCCUCAUGCCCACACGUCAGCAGGCCCCGCCCCGCCUACCGCCACUUGCUGGACAGGCAGCCUCCCCCAGGGCCCCAAGGUCGAGGCAAGCCGAGUGCCCCCUUCCCCGCUCACCAGUAGCUGCUGCGGGAUGAGCUGCAUGUACAGCUUCCGCGGCCACUGCUCGGUCCUCCUGCAGGGGUGCAGGGACGAGGGUCAGGAGGCCAGGCCUCACCGAGAUGCCGCCCCCCGCCCCCUGCCCGACACUCACAGGAUCUCCCCUUGGUUCACGUAGAUGUGCGACGGCAGCCACCUCUUAGACCGACUGUUAGGCUCAGGCCUGGGCUUUUGGGGGAUAAGAAGAGGGGAGCCGUCAGGAGUGGGAGGAUGCCCUGGUCCUGAGGUCACCCAGGCCCGCCCAGGGCUCACCUCCUGCCACUCCAUGACUCCACUCCAUGCCAGGAACUUGUUGUUGACCAUCUGGACAGGGCCCGCGACGCCACCAGGUCCCACUGCCUGGGGAGGAGACAGGUGGGCUGGUGCCCCAAGAGUUCCCCAGAGAACGCUGCCCAGACCCCUCCACGCCCCCAGUCCGUCAGUCCCAAGCUUAUCUACCUGCUGCCCCCAGGGCCCGGCCUGGCCCAGCCCGGCCUCCAGUCUGCCCACAGGCCCAGAGGAUUCCCCAGAGCGGGCCCUGCCCCUCACAGCACCCCCCGUGCCCUGGGCCAAGCCCCCACCAUCAGCCUGGGGGACAUGGCUCACAGGGUCUGCCUCUAAGAACUGGGCGGCUGUGUAACUUGCCGCACAAACGGGGACACUUUUGGGUGAAGGGGUCACUGAACAGCUGGUAAGGCGCGAGCCAGGAUUUGAGGUCACCCUCCUGCCACGAGUGUGCCCGCCUGCCCAUCCGCCUCCCUGCUCCCCAUGGGCACCCCUCCUGCCGGGAACCACCCUGUCAGACCCCUCGACCCCCUCACCCUUCAAAGCCUCAGACACGUGUGGCGGCCGGGCCCAAGGGCACACCUGUUUGCGGGUGGUGAUGACCUGCCGGAUGGCAUUGACGAAGCCGCUCUGGUCGUAGGGGAUGAGGCCCAUGAAGAUCUUCUUCUUGGACGAGUACAGGAGCAUGAGCACGCGCACCUCGCAGGGGGAGAUGUGGGGGAAGAGCAUGCAGCCCGCCUGUGGGUGGGGGUGGGGAGGGAACGAUCAUCACGGGACAGAAAUCCCCAAGGUUAACACCAGGACCCUAAAUGACUGGUGUGUAGCCAGAACGUGUCGUUCUGGGAGCCUGUGAACGUGCACCCUGGUGUCCCCCCCCCCCCACCGUGACUCUGGGGUCAGGGCUGGGGCCCCAUGUGCCAGGUGAGGGUCCUGAGAGGGCUCCACCUGCCGCCCACAUGCCCCGAGGUCAUUCCCUGUCCUGUGGAGUCUGCUGCUGGGCCCCGCUGACGGAGGCCACCAGGCCCGGGGGUUAAGAGCACAAACGCAGGACCAGGCUGCCUGGGAGUAACCCUGGCUCUGCUACCUCCUAGCUGUGUGACCUAAGGCAGGUCACCUCUGGACCUCAGUUUCCCCACGUGUAAAACAGCACAACAACGGCGCACAGAGUAAGUGCCACAUAAACGCUCAUUACACAAGA